rnacentral:misc_RNA from 1 species
AACGCACGAGACCUGCGGACCUGCGGAAGGAUCAUUAAAGAGUUUAACUACUCAAACCAUUGUGAACCUUACCUCAACCGUUGCUUCGGCGGGCGGGCCCGGGCCAAGCCCGGCGCCCCCCCGGCCCCUCGCGGGCGCCCGCCGGAGGUUAACCGAACCCUUGAAUUGUAUGGCCUCUCUGAGUCUUCUGUACUGAAUAAGUCAAAACUUUCAACAACGGAUCUCUAGAUCGGAAGAGCA